rnacentral:rRNA from 1 species
UACGUAGGUGGCAAGCGUUAUCCGGAAUUAUUGGGCGUAAAGCGCGCGCAGGCGGUUUCUUAAGUCUGAUGUGAAAGCCCACGGCUCAACCGUGGAGGGUCAUUGGAAACUGGGGAACUUGAGUGCAGAAGAGAAAAGCGGAAUUCCACGUGUAGCGGUGAAAUGCGUAGAGAUGUGGAGGAACACCAGUGGCGAAGGCGGCUUUUUGGUCUGUAACUGACGCUGAGGCGCGAAAGCCAGGGGAGCAAACGGG